AGGAAAGAGGAACAAAUGUGCAGCUGCGUGGAGAGGACACCUGCUUCUUUUUGGUCUCCGAGCACAUUCUUUCAGCAGCCUCCCUCUAAGCCGGGGAGAGUGGUCUUCUUGAUCCUGUGGAAGCUGUUUGAAGAGUUUCAGUCCCUCUGCCCGCUCUAACUGACAGCCGAGCUCCGCUGGCCAGUCGCUGGCCUGAAUCCCCCGGCUUUGGGCCUCUGCAGCCGGCUCUCAUCCAAGCCUGAUCCACAAUGCCGUCAGGACGGAUUUGACAGUCCUCGCUCAUCCCAGGGAUGUCCAAAGUGCUUUCACAGUGGGUGAACGAACCCGUCCCAACCUUGCUCCACACUGCCCCAGCCAAGUGGAGUGUGACAGGAAAGUGUGUCUGCGCCAGGAACAUUUAGGGGCUGAGCACCCUUCAGCGUCUAUAUGAGAUGCACUGGGCUUUCAACUUACCUCAGUGCAACCCAUUCUCAUUCUGAAGUUCUCAAACAGUUCCAGACAACGUAAUUUAAGAAGAUGGAAAGUCCCUAUAGGGCAGGCGGGAGGGGUGGUGGAUGGGUCCAACAAACAUUGGAGUUCCACCCGGGAGCCCACUGUUUGCUUCCCGCAUGAAUGUAGAGCCAAACCAGGAUGUAUUUUGUUUUAAAAACCUAACCAUGUACAUUUGUUGCACAAGGAAAUAAAUGUAAAUACGAGGUGUUUUGCUGAAGUUGUAAAGACAGUAUGCACCCAAUGAGCCGAAAUCUGCAAGUACAUUUUGAAAAGACAAUGCAUGUAACUACUGUAAAUUGACACGGUGUCCCAGAACAUCAAGAACAGACACACCCAGAAUAUCUGCCACAUCAUAUGUAGAUGUCAAAGUCCACUGAC